AACGAACGCUGGCGGCAUGCCUAACACAUGCAAGUCGAACGAUCCCUUCGGGGAUAGUGGCGCACGGGUGCGUAACGCGUGGGAACCUGCCCUUAGGUUCGGAAUAACUCAGAGAAAUUUGAGCUAAUACCGGAUAAUGUCUUCGGACCAAAGAUUUAUCGCCUUUGGAUGGGCCCGCGUUGGAUUAGCUAGUUGGUGGGGUAAAGGCCUACCAAGGCGACGAUCCAUAGCUGGUCUGAGAGGAUGAUCAGCCACACUGGGACUGAGACACGGCCCAGACUCCUACGGGAGGCAGCAGUGGGGAAUAUUAGACAAUGGGCGAAGGCCUGAUCCAGCAAUGCCGCGUGAGUGAUGAAGGCCUUAGGGUUGUAAAGCUCUUUUACCCGGGAUGAUAAUGACAGUACCGGGAGAAUAAGCCCCGGCUAACUCCGUG
rnacentral:rRNA from 1 species